rnacentral:rRNA from 1 species
CCUACGGGGGGCUGCAGUGGGGAAUAUUGCACAAUGGGCGCAAGCCUGAUGCAGCCAUGCCGCGUGUGUGAAGAAGGCCUUCGGGUUGUAAAGCACUUUCAGCGGGGAGGAAGGCGUUAAGGUUAAUAACCUUGGCGAUUGACGUUACCCGCAGAAGAAGCACCGGCUAACCCCGUGCCAGCAGCCGCGGUAAUACGGAGGGUGCAAACGUUAAUCGGAAUUACUGGGCGUAAAGCGCACGCAGGCGGUCUGUCAAGUCGGAUGUGAAAUCCCCGGGCUCAACCUGGGAACUGCAUUCGAAACUGGCAGGCUAGAGUCUUGUAGAGGGGGGUAGAAUUCCAGGUGUAGCGGUGAAAUGCGUAGAGAUCUGGAGGAAUACCGGUGGCGAAGGCGGCCCCCUGGACAAAGACUGACGCUCAGGUGCGAAAGCGUGGGGAGCAAACAGGAUUAGAUACCCGAGUAGUC